rnacentral:rRNA from 1 species
UACGUAGGGUGCGAGCGUUGUCCGGAAUUAUUGGGCGUAAAGAGCUUGUAGGCGGUUUGUCGCGUCUGCCGUGAAAAUCCGAGGCUCAACCUCGGACCUGCGGUGGGUGACGGGCAGACUAGAGUGUGGUAGGGGAGACUGGAAUUCCUGGUGUAGCGGUGAAAUGCGCAGAUAUCAGGAGGAACACCGAUGGCGAAGGCAGGUCUCUGGGCCACUACUGACGCUGAGGAGCGAAAGUGUGGGGAGCGAACAGG